rnacentral:lncRNA from 1 species
UUUGUUUUUGUUUUUGCUUUUCAGUACCCGAGAUCGAACUCAGGACCUUGCACUUGCAAGGCAGGCACAGCGCCACUGAGCUACAUCCCCAGCCCAACACAAAUAGAUCUUACACAACUGCCAUCGAGUGAAUAAAGAAGGAGUGAGAUUCAGCGUACACAGCCAGUCACACGAGCUGAGAACACUCAUCUGUGACACACGCAUCUUUGGUGACGCUCCAUCCGCAGGUGGAGGGCAGCCUAGAAGGUCGUGUUUAAGGCACUGAGCUUGCAUGUCUCCUGGAUCACUGCUGUCAAACCUUCCUUCUACCCUGGGACGCUCAGGAGCUUCCUCUCUGUGCCCACGGCCCCAGGCUCAUCGCUCUGGCUGGAUUCAUUUCCAACUUUACUCUGCUGCCCAAGCACCCAUCCACUGGGAGAACACAGUCAUUUUCAGAACCUGCUCUGUAUUCUGAUGUGACGUCCAGCCUCUCGUGACCAGGUCUGGAGUUUGCACACACACACAAAAAGAAUCCUCCUCUCAGCCCAACUCUGCUGCAUCAGAGAAAGGGACAUGUUGGUAUUUCCACAGCAGCGUGGGGAGCCAGGAUUCCACGGAAGCUGAGCCAGGAAAGCUGGGACCCUAACCUUUGCACCUGGUUCUGCCCUCCUGCUGGGAGCAGGUGCAAGGGCAGAGAGUUGCAGGCUUGCUAGGAAAGGGUUCUGACCGUGCGAGGGAGGGAAGGGUGAGAUGCUCAUUCAGCAGAUACUGUCCACAUGCCUACUAUGUCCCAGGCACUGUUCUGGGCAUGGCUGACUGGGUAUAAAACAGGCCAGGUCCCUGCCCUCGUGGAGCUAUGGCCACAGCUCAUCCCAGGGCGGAACUGGCCGAGGCCUGAGGAACAGCUCCUGAGCUAGAGAGGGAAUGUGAGGGAGGUUCGCUGAGCCACACCUUGGCUGUGUGGCGGGGAGGGAGACAGGGGUGGUGAUCCCCUCAGCCUCUUUCCCAGAGAGUCAGUCGGCAGCGAGGGUCAUGGCGCUGACUGGAAAGAUGACUGGCGGGGAUGCCAAGUCUCCUCCCUCCACCUCCUAGAGGACACGGACCCGGGCUCCAAAGUUCUAGGUAGACGACAGGUAAUCGGAGAAGCUGUGGGAUGCAACCAGUCACGGUCAAACUAGGUUAAACUGCACCAAGCAAUGCGUUGGAAAGCUCAAGCAGAAAGCCUGAUCCAUGUCAUGCUCAGUACACAACUUCCUUGUCAUCACUGGACAAUGUUUCCAAUUCAAACGCCUCAUUAAUCAUUCAUAACACCACGGAGAGGAACAAGACUCAGAAAACCUGAAGUUGUAGAAGCUUUGCUGUACCCUGGUUUCCGUUCAGACAGCCACACAUCUCACCCUCUGCUGGGAAAAGGCAGGCAACAUCCCUGGGAAUUCUCUCUGCCCGUUUAGGCUUUUAAUUCAGAUCACCCCAUGCCUUCAGAUGUCCUUGGAAAGUACGAGGGUCUCCUGUCCUAGCUGCCACACUUAGCACCCUAAUUCUCGCUUUCCCUUGGCUGCGUUGCAAAGGCCCUACUUGGCAAGCAUCCGUCAAGAUGCCAGAGACCUCUCCCUGCGCCCAUCCUGCGUCCUGGCGCCUGAUCUCAGGCCCUGGCCUUGGCUGCCUCCUCUCCACCCCUCAUCUGCCCUUCAUUUCCCACAAAUGGAUCUGCCCCUCGUGACGUCCUAGCACCCACAGAUAGAGGCGCUGAUGCGAACGCAGCCUUUGUGUAUUGUCAUCGUUUGAACAGCACGGAGAACAGCGAGCUUACGCCCUGUGGAAUGUCACCACAGCCCAGGUCACCGAUCGCCCCCACCUCCGGGAGGACUUUUGAACAUGUGCCAAGCUCUUUCCUGCGCAGGCUACAGUUUUCCCCAAUCCCAGAGAGUGAGAAAAAGUAAAGACAAUGUCUGUUUGUGAGGUUGGGGGUAGAAGGAUGGCGAGGAGAUGGGGAACAGAAGUUAAUAUUUUGAAGUGUUGGGCUGGGGAUGCAGCUCAGUUUGGAACACUUGUCUAGCAUGUGCAAGUCCCUGGGUUCCUCCCCUGGCACAGCAAAUUAAUGUUUAAAAAUUCAGAAGGAGGGUCAUGCAUCCCUUCACAGCAGGAAUACAUUCUGAGGAAUGGGUGCUGUGCUAUGGGACCCAACACAGAAUGUAUUUUCAAGACGCGGGUGUUGUAGGUCAGUCACUGUACAUGGUCUCUUUUGAUGCAAUCUAGAGACACCGUAAACACAAGCUGUACGGCUCUGCUGCCGGAGCACACAGCAGACUCUUUCACAGGAUUUGUUUGUUUGUUUUUGGUAUUACGGAUCAAACUCGGGACCUUGCGAGGCAGGCGGCAGCACCACUGAGCUAAAUCCCUGGCCCUCGUAGGAUUUUUUUGAGUAGAUGUAUACUCUUAAAAUAAAGAUAAAAC